rnacentral:rRNA from 1 species
AACGUAGGAGACAAACGUUAUCCGGAGUUACUGGGCGUAAAGGGCGUGUAGGUGGUUUCGUAAGUCUGGCGUGAAAUUUUUCGGCUUAACCGGGAAAGGUCGUCGGAUACUGCGGAGCUAGAGGACGGUAGAGGCGUGUGGAAUUCCGGGUGUAGUGGUGAAAUGCGUAGAGAUCCGGAGGAACACCAGUGGCGAAGGCGACUCACUGGACACAUAUUGACGCUGAGGUGCGAAAGCGUGGGGAGCAAACAGG